rnacentral:rRNA from 1 species
GUGGGGAAUAUUGGACAAUGGGGGCAACCCUGAUCCAGCGACGCCGCGUGGGUGAAGAAGGCCUGCGGGUUGUAAAGCCCUUUCGGUAGGGACGAAAGCUCUCGACCUAACACGUCGGGAGGUUGACUUAACCUACAAAAGAAGCACCGGCUAACUCUGUGCCAGCAGCCGCGGUAAUACAGAGGGUGCGAGCGUUAAUCGGAAUUACUGGGCGUAAAGCGCACGUAGGCGGCUUGGUAUGUCGGGUGUGAAAUCCCCGGGCUCAACCUGGGAACUGCAUCCGAAACUGCCUUGCUCGAGUAUGGGAGAGGGAAGUGGAAUUUCCGGUGUAGCGGUGAAAUGCGUAGAUAUCGGAAGGAACAUCAGUGGCGAAGGCGACUUCCUGGACCAAUACUGACGCUCAGGUGCGAAAGCGUGGGGAGCAAACAGGAUUAGAUACCCUAGUAGUCC